ensembl:lncRNA
GUCAAAUAGGGAAAUGGUCCCAAUCGUUUUUCCAUAGGGAAUUUAAGAAACACUUAACAUAUGGUCUGUGUUUCGUGUAGGCGUACCCUGGUGUGACCUUUUGAUAACCGUGUAAAUCUCUCUAGGACAAGGUGACUUUUAUCAAUAUAUUUACCUGCAAAAAAUGAAAUGUUAAUUAGCUGCUAAUGGGGCUAUCAUAAAGAACUGCAAAUACCAUGUGAUCUGGACAAGACUGCCAAAUCGAGGCAAUGACAUAUCAAAAGAUCUGAAUACGACCAGCUCUUGUGACUCUCACUGAUGCAACCUCUCUCCUCGUGACUUCAAACGGAACCUCCAGGUGGAGCACACACCUGGAAAAAGAGAAAUAACACCCUGUCUGUGUGUACUUUCACCACCAGAGAGAGCUAUUUGUCCAGGUUUUCUGUCCACUGAUCUCUUUCAGUGAGUAGAAUGUGACGUUGAUUUGCAGUGAGAGACUUAUGAUUGGGCCUGGUGUUAAUCCCUGGCAUAAGGGGGCUUGGCUGGAUUAGAAGCUGAUGUGGUAACAUCUGUAUGGCGGCUGGAUUAGCACGGAG